rnacentral:rRNA from 1 species
UGGGGAAUAUUGGACAAUGGGCGCAAGCCUGAUCCAGCCAUGCCGCGUGAGUGAUGAAGGCCUUAGGGUUGUAAAGCUCUUUUGUCCGGGAAGAUAAUGACUGUACCGGAAGAAUAAGCCCCGGCUAACUUCGUGCCAGCAGCCGCGGUAAUACGAAGGGGGCUAGCGUUGCUCGGAAUCACUGGGCGUAAAGGGCGCGUAGGCGGACUUUUAAGUCGGAGGUGAAAGCCCAGGGCUCAACCCUGGAAUUGCCUUCGAUACUGGGAGUCUUGAGUUCGGAAGGGGUUGGUGGAACUGCGAGUGUAGAGGUGAAAUUCGUAGAUAUUCGCAAGAACACCGGUGGCGAAGGCGGCCAACUGGUCCGAAACUGACGCUGAGGCGCGAAAGCGGGGGGAGCAAACAGG